CAGUAGCCGCGGUAAUACGUAGGGUGCGAGCGUUAAUCGGAAUUACUGGGCGUAAAGCGUGCGCAGGCGGUUGUGUAAGACAGGUGUGAAAUCCCCGGGCUUAAUCUGGGAACUGCGCUUGUGACUGCACAGCUAGAGUAUGGCAGAGGGGGGUGGAAUUCCACGUGUAGCAGUGAAAUGCGUAGAGAUGUGGAGGAACACCGAUGGCGAAGGCAGCCCCCUGGGCCAAUACUGACGCUCAUGCACGAAAGCGUGGGGAGCAAACAGGAUUAGAUACCCCCGUAGUCCCUGUCUCUUAUAC
rnacentral:rRNA from 1 species